CGUUUUUUCUGGGGUUUUCCAAUUAUUAAUGAAGACUACGUGGAACAUCGAAAAAUGACUUAAUUACUCACCAAUUAAGUCCAACAAAAAAGUUCUCACGUCUUUUUUUGAUUGGAGCAAGAUUUUUGGUGGAAAAGUUGUUCACAGACACAAAAAAUAAUAAUGAUAAAUACAACACACAUUUCAUAGUAAAACCAAUAGACAUCCCACGUUACGCUCAGAAUUAAAAAAAAAAAAAAAAACAAUAUUAAAACAAAUACAUUCGUGGCUGUGAUCAGAAUAUAAAAUGUUAAAUUUAAAUGUUUAAAAUUAAGUGAACAUACUUCACACGAUUGAUGGGCUACUGUUGUAGGUGAGAAAUUGGGAAGGCAGAUGAAAAAUUUAGUGUAUAUCUGUAUGCAAUGUAUAAUUAUUGCCAACGAAAAAAAAU